rnacentral:rRNA from 1 species
AUGCCGCCCCGUCCCCCGCUCCGCUCGCCUCCGAGCGGCGGCCCUUACACCACCGCGCCGCCGUCGCCGCCGCGCGCGGCCGAGCAGCACUGCCUGCGCCUCCUGGAGCGCGCCACGACGCCGGCGUCGCUCCUCCAGCCCCUCGCAUUCCUCCUCAAGCACGGUCUCCACUCCAACCCGCUGGUCCUCACCAGGCUCUUCUCGGCCGCGGGCUCCGCCGCGCCCGCGCUCCUCGAGCCCCUCGUCGCGGCGCUCCUCCGCCCGGGCCUCCCGCUCGACGCCUUCCUCCUCAACACCCUCAUCCGCGCGCACGUCGCGUCCCCGCUCCCCUCCGCGCGCCGCCGCGCCGCGGCCUUCUUCCCGCUCAUGCUCCGCCGCGGCGUCGCCCCCAACAAGUUCACCUUCCCGUUCCUCCUCAAGUCCUGCGCCGCGAUGCCGGGGUCCCCGGCCGCCGGUCUCCAGGCCCACGCCGCCGCCCUCAAGUUCGGCUUCGCCGCCGACCACUACGUCUCCAACACGCUCAUACACAUGUACUCCUGCUUCGGGGCCGGGUUCCUCGGGGACGCGCGGAACGUGUUCGACAGAACGCCCAAGGACAGCGCUGUCACCUGGAGCGCGAUGAUCGGCGGGUACGUGCGUGGGGGGCUGUCGAGUGAUGCUGUCAUGCUGUUCCGGGAGAUGCAGGCCAGCGGAGUGUGGCCGGAUGAGGUGACAGUCCUCGGGGUCCUUUCGGCCGCCGCUGAUUUGGGUGCACUCGAGCUCACGCGGUGGGUUGAGCGGUUUGUGGCGAGGGAGGGAAUUGGGAGGUCUGUGACGCUCUGCAAUGCGCUGAUCGACACGCUCGCCAAGUGCGGGGAUGUCGAUGGGGCAGUGGCUGUGUUCGAGGGGAUGGAGGAGCGGACUGUUGUGUCAUGGACGUCGGUGAUUGAUGCACUUGCAAUGGAGGGCCGUGGGAAAGAGGCUGUGGCUGUGUUCGAAGAAAUGAAGGCUGUUGGCGUGCCACCUGAUGAUGUCGCAUUCAUCGGGGUGCUCACUGCAUGUAGCCAUGCUGGAAUGGUUGAUGAAGGCCGUGGCUACUUUGACUCAAUGAAGACAGAGCAUGGUAUUGAGCCUAAGAUCGAGCAUUAUGGUUGUAUGGUCGACAUGUUUGGCCGUGCCGGCAUGGUUGAGCAAGGGUUGGACUUUGUUCGCGCGAUGCCCAUGAAACCAAACCCAAUAAUUUGGCGGACUCUGGUUGCUGCUUGUCGUGCUCAUGGCCGGCUCGAGCUCGGUGAAAGCAUUAGCAGGGACCUUCUUAAAGAGUACCCUGCUCAUGAGGCCAACUACGUCAUGCUCUCCAACGUAUUUGCAUUGACGCAGAGAUGGAAGGAGAAGUCAGAGAUUAGAAGAGAGAUGAGCAAGAGAGGUAUUACAAAGGUGCCAGGCUGCAGCCUUGUUGAACUUGAUGGAGAGGUCCAUGAGUUCAUAGCAGGAGAUGAGUCGCAUCCGCAGUACAAGGAGAUAUACAGGAUGGUUGAGGAGAUGUCAAGAGAGCUAAGACGCAUUGGGCAUAUUGCAGCCACAUCAGAGGUCCUCCUUGACCUUGAUGAGGAGGACAAGGAGGGUGCGCUUCAGUGGCACAGUGAGAAGCUGGCAAUUGCAUUCGUGCUCCUGAGGACUCCUCCUGGAACACAGGUCCGGGUGGUAAAAAACCUACGGGUAUGCUCCGAUUGUCAUGCGGCAAUUAAGUGCAUAUCACAAGUUUAUAACCGGGAGAUCAUAGUACGUGAUAGGAGCCGUUUCCAUCGCUUUAAGGAUGGUUCCUGCUCCUGCAAGGAUUUCUGGUGA